UACGUAGGGGCCUAGCGUUGUCCGGAUUUAUUGGCGUAAAGAGCGUGUAGGCGGCCCGGUAAGUCCGCUGUGAAAGUCCAGGGCUCAACCCUGGGAAUGCCGGUGGAUACUGUCGGGCUCGAGUCCGGAAGAGGAGUGUGGAAUUCCUGGUGUAGCGGUGAAAUGCGCAGAUAAUCAGGAAGAACACCAAUGGCGAAAGCAGCUUCUGGGACGGUACUGACGCUGAGACGCGAAAGCGUGGGGAGCGAACAGG
rnacentral:rRNA from 1 species